ACAGUGGGGAAUAUUGCACAAUGGGGGAAACCCUGAUGCAGCGACGCCGCGUGAAGGAAGAAGUAUCUCGGUAUGUAAACUUCUAUCAGCAGGGAAGAUAGUGACGGUACCUGACUAAGAAGCCCCGGCUAACUACGUGCC
rnacentral:rRNA from 1 species